ensembl:snRNA U6 U6 spliceosomal RNA
GUGCUCACUUCGGCAGCACAUGUAAAAUUGGAAUGAUACAGAGAUUAGCAUGGCCCCUCCGCAAGGAUGACAUGCAAGUUCAUGAGCGUUCUGCAUUUUUU